UACGGAGGGAGCUAGCGUUGUUCGGAAUUACUGGGCGUAAAGCGCACGUAGGCGGCUUUGUAAGUUAGAGGUGAAAGCCCGGGGCUCAACUCCGGAAUUGCCUUUAAGACUGCAUCGCUUGAGUUGUGGAGAGGUAAGUGGAAUUCCGAGUGUAGAGGUGAAAUUCGUAGAUAUUCGGAAGAACACCAGUGGCGAAGGCGACUUACUGGACACAUACUGACGCUGAGGUGCGAAAGCGUGGGGAGCAAACAGG
rnacentral:rRNA from 1 species